CACCCAUGUCACAGGGUCCAGAGUUUGCCAGGGACAGGGAAAGCCCCCCUUCUGUGUCCCCAUCAUGAGUUAAGACUUUCUCCCACCGUUCUGCUGUUAAUCUUUAAACAGCCCAGUGAUUAAUUAAUUACCCAAGACCUACAAGGGGCUCGGUUGAGUACACCUGGUAUCUGCGACCAGGGCACCCUCUUUGCAGUACCCCGGCCUCACAGCCCCUGAUGUGAGCAGGGAGGUACACAGACGAUCCCUCCAGGCUCACAGACACAGGCAGGGACGUCACUGUCAUGGUCCAGUAAACCCUGCUCCAUCCUGGGUCCUGGGCCACAGCACAGCUUGCAGGAGACGGGGAGUAAGGCACCAUCAAGAAAGAAGAAAGAACCUUGGAGGCCAGGCAGGGGCUCCUCUCUGUUCUCCACAUGUGGCUGUGGCGUGUUGAAUGCAGAAGUUUCACAGGCACGUACCAGACGCUGCAUUCUGGAAAUGGCUCUGGCCGUUGGUGCAUGUGAGGGCAGCUCCCGGAUUUUCCUGGUUACACACGAAGCCACUGUGAACACUUUUGCCGUGUCUCUUCUGCACGUGCUUGAUGAUUUCUGGAGGCUAGAAGAUCCCGUAGAAGGAGAAUUGCUGGGUCAAAGGGUAAGCCCCUUUGUGGUUUGACUGAUGCUGUCCACCCGAGUCGAAACAUAUUAGAAACUUAGAAUCUUAAGAGGGAGAGGAGGCUGGGCAUGGUGGCUCACGCUUGCACUUUGGGAGGUUAAGGUGGGAGGUUAAGGUGGGAGUCCAGGAGUUCACAGCUGCAGUGAGCCAUGAUUGCCACCCUGCACUUCAGCCUAGGUGACGGAGCGAGACCCUGUCUCAAAAUAAAUAAAUAAAUAAGAAAAAGAGAAGCA
rnacentral:lncRNA from 13 species